GCGUCGGACUGGGGGGGUAAAGGGUACCGAGUACCCAGGGCCCGAGGUAGGGGGGGGCCCUUAAAAGUCAGUUUUCUAUACAUACAUAUACAUGCACUAACAUUUGUAUAGCAUUUAUGUACAAAUAAAAAAGUUCCUGGGCAAAAUUAAACUUGUAGUUAGGCACUGGUUUGGUAUAACAAAGUCAUUUUCAUUCUGUGCAGGGCCCCACCACCCCUCUCGAAUCAAUGUAAAUGAUACGACCCGCAGUUCAUGUGCUUCAGCUGCGGACCAGCGGUGAAUCAGUUAAUGAGACGGGAGCAUAGACAGUAAAAUAAGACAGGAGCUGGAGGUAGCCAUGAUAUGAACUAAGAAGACAGGGGAAGAGUCAUGUCUUUCCUUAAGAAAGGAAAAUCAGGGGCUCAGAAACGAAGAUUAAAGAGAGAAAGGCAAAUGAGGGCAAGCAGUUGCUCACUCAGUAUUUUGAAAAGAAAGGUGAGCUCCAAAUGCAUAAUCGAGCAUUGACAUUGUUUUAACAUAAAUGUCUACUCUUGGAGGAGUUCUCCCCAGAGUCAGAAGUUUACAUGAAAACACUGUAUAUUUCCCUCCAUUGUCAAAAUCUAACACCUGCGAAAACACAGAUCGUUAGCGCCUAUUUUACCGCAUUGUUAUGCAAAUUAGCUCGCGCACGCUCAGGAUUGUUAUCAGUUUAAUGCACAUCUUAUUGAUUGAAAAUUACUUAUUGUAAAACGUAAAGACUGAAUGUCUAGUUUGGUGGUUAGUGUACCCUGUGAUUCUAUAGUCUGCAUUUAUUUUAAACAGACAUAUAAUCAGCAAUUAACUUGUACUUAGCCUACACUUUAAAAAAAAGGUAUUAUGACAAUAAAGGAUAUUUUAGCAACCAUUUGAAGCCAUAUAUUUCAGUUUCAGACCCUGUAGCAGCAGGCCCCUCAUCAUGGCCAGGUGAAAGCAGUGACAGUGAAGUGGAUGUGACAGUGAGACAAGAUUUCUUCCCUUGCGGCUGUUGGGGCUAUGACACAAAACGUGUCACGUGGAAGUGGAACAUCCUUUCCCGCAUGUUCCAGGAUGACGUUGAGAGAAGGGUGUGAAUGGGGAAAAAAGCAUUCAGCCAGAUGGAGUCCAAGAAGUUCCUCAUGUGUGCUGUGAGAAAGAGCCAUGUAUCACGUGCCGCCACUGAUGAAGAAAUCACAGAACACACAAUACAGUGGGUCAGCCUGGCAACUGAUAGGAGAAGCUCAAGGAACGUCCCACUGUGAGCACCCAGCAGUAGAGUUCUUCAGAGCUUCAUUGUUACCUUCAGUGUUUUGAACAGUUACAAUAAAAUAAAGGUACAAGGUUACUAUUUUAGAUAAAUGUUUUUUAAUUGUUUUUGUUUUUAUUCAAAGAAUCAACUUGUUUUUAUUUUUCUAUUCAAAGAAAAUUAAAUGAAAUCCAGUUUCUAAAAUAGAGCUUUAUAGAGCAAUCCAGUCUAUCUGAUGUUGGUCCAUUUAGAUUUUAAAUAUUUCUGUGUAGCGAGUUGUGGCCAGAAUAUCCAGGUAUCCAGACCAAAUGAACCACUUAAUAAGCGGGUCCAUAUCGGAUCCGCGGCGGAUCCGGUGCUUCAUAAACGGGUCCAGAUCGGGUCUGCGGCGGAUCCGGUGCUUCAUAAACGGCUCCUGAUCAGAUCCGCGGCGGAUGAACUUCCUUAUCGGCGGACACGGGGCAGGUCUGCCCCGGAUCUGAUCUGAAACGACAAUCCUUAUCUGUUCCGGAUCUGCUGCUCUGUGCAAGUAGACUCCGUUCCGGACCUGUUUUGCGGAUCCGUUCUGGAGCUUGUGAUACCUCUGGGGCGGAUCCGUUGCGGAGUCAGUUUGCUAUCUGGGAAACCAUGGCUAACAGUCAGAUUUAGCCGUAUAUUUAUGAUCCAGAAUCAGAUACCGAGGUUGAAAUUGAACAAGAGCAGCAGCAGCAACGA